rnacentral:rRNA from 2 species
UAACGGCGAGUGAAGCGGCAACAGCUCAAAUUUGAAAUCUGGCCCCUAGGGUCCGAGUUGUAAUUUGCAGAGGAUGCUUUUGACAAGGUGCCUUCCGAGUUCCCUGGAACGGGACGCCAUAGAGGGUGAGAGCCCCGUCUGGUCGGAUACCGCGUCUCUGUAAAGCUCCUUCGACGAGUCGAGUAGUUUGGGAAUGCUGCUCAAAAUGGGAGGUAUAUGUCUUCUAAAGCUAAAUAUUGGCCAGAGACCGAUAGCGCACAAGUAGAGUGAUCGAAAGAUGAAAAGCACUUUGAAAAGAGGGUUAAAAAGUACGUGAAAUUGUUGAAAGGGAAGCGCCUAUGACCAGACUUGGGCCCGGUGAAUCAUCCAGCGUUCUCGCUGGUGCACUUUGCCGGGCACAGGCCAGCAUCAGUUUGGCUUGGGGGAAAAAGGCUUUGGGAACGUAGCUCCUCGGAGUGUUAUAGACCAUUGCAUAAUACCCUGGGCCGGACUGAGGUUCGCGCAUCUGCAAGGAUGCUGGCGUAAUGGUCAUCAGCGACCCGUCUUGAAACACGGACCAAGGAGUCGUCUUCGUAUGCGAGUGUUCGGGUGUAAAACCCCUACGCGUAAUGAAAGUGAACGCAGGUGAGAGCUUCGGCGCAUCAUCGACCGAUCCUGAUGUUCUCGGAUGGAUUUGAGUAAGAGCAUACGGGGCCGGACCCGAAAGAAGGUGAACUAUGCCUGUAUAGGGUGAAGCCAGAGGAAACUCUGGUGGAGGCUCGCAGCGGUUCUGA